rnacentral:tRNA from 1 species
GAGGGUACAGCUCAGUGGUAGAGCGCUUGCUUAGCAUGUGCAAGGUCCUGGGUUCAAUCUCCAGUACCUCCC